CACUUAUCUCUGUUGGAUUGGGUUAUAGAACAGUGUUCUCCAUCAGUUCCUGGUCUUCAAACCCAAGGACGUCGUAAUGCCCACAGGGCAGUACCGCUCCCUUGGCAGAGAAUCAUCCUCCUUCCUCCCAGAGCGAGCGAGGGCCGGGAGCACGUGCUCAGUUUUACGCACAUGCUGAAGUUGCACUGAAGUAAGUGCUUUGCUGACUCAGAGCAUCGAUUCUUGCUCGCACGGUACAUAGCCUUUUACUGCUGUCUGCGCGGAGGUGGAUUCGCCAGGACCACAGGUGAGGAGACCUCGUUACACGCUGCACACUGCCAGGUCUGCACGGUAUUGAUUACUCAUAGGUAUGUUUGGAGUGGAGUUGUCUCCGUACUAGUUGAAGUACAGGGUGUUCAGUGUUUAUUGUGCUCUUAACAAAGUCUGUUAUCAGCAAGUUUGAAGUUUGUUGCUAUCUUCUAGCGUCUUAGACUAAUCACAGUAAUGAAGGCAUUGAACAGAGCCCUUCUCAGGUGGCAUUUACCAUUGUUUGCUGCAGAUAACAUAAAGCUUUCUGAUUACAGUCGGCUUUUAUCACUUCAGAGCAAAUCUACUCCACUGAAAUGUGCUAAUAAAACCCACGGAAGCAACAAACUGGAAAGAAGUGUUACAGCAAUAAAGGAACAUGAGGGAAAAUGUA